UGGGGAAUCUUGCGCAAUGGGCGAAAGCCUGACGCAGCGACGCCGCGUGAGUGAUGAAGGCCUUCGGGUUGUAAAGCUCUGUGGGCGGGGACGAAUAAGGGUUGGCUAAUAUCCAACCUGAUGACGGUACCCGUUUAGCAAGCACCGGCUAACUCUGUGCCAGCAGCCGCGGUAAGACAGAGGGUGCAAACGUUGUUCGGAAUUACUGGGCGUAAAGCGCGUGUAGGCUGCUCCGCAAGUCGGAUGUGAAAGCCCUGGGCUCAACCUAGGAAGUGCAUUCGAUACUGCAGAGCUUGAGUCCUGGAGAGGAAGGCGGAAUUCUCGGUGUAGAGGUGAAAUUCGUAGAUAUCGAGAGGAACACCGGUGGCGAAGGCGGCCUUCUGGACAGUGACUGACGCUGAGACGCGAAAGCGUGGGGAGCAAACAG
rnacentral:rRNA from 1 species